rnacentral:misc_RNA from 1 species
AACGGACUUGCAACUGAUAGGAGAUUAUCUUGAAAGCGAUACACGCCGCAAAAUUUCAGUAUUCUAUCAUUUGAAAAUCGAAGUUUGAAUUGAAGUGAUAUCAGUUGCUUAUGUUACUUAGCUUACUUCUUGCUCGACAUGGGGAGAUCUGGAUUGCUACUGAAUUUUCUCGACACUAUGCAUGCGCCUCCUCUAUACUCUCAAUUAUCUAUCUCAUUUCCAUAAUCUGUGAGU